UACGGGGGGGGCAAGCGUUGUUCGGAAUUACUGGGCGUAAAGGGCUCGUAGGCGGCCAACUAAGUCAGACGUGAAAUCCCUCGGCUUAACCGGGGAACUGCCUCUGAUACUGGAUGGCUUGAGAUUGGGAGAGGGAUGCGGAAUUCCAGGUGUAGCGGUGAAAUGCGUAGAUAUCUGGAGGAACACCGGUGGCGAAGGCGGCAUCCUGGACCAACACUGACGCUGAGGAGCGAAAGCCAGGGGAGCAAACGGA
rnacentral:rRNA from 1 species